CUGGAGGUAUCAGAAGUGCGAAUGCUGACAUAAGUAACGAUAAAGCGGGUGAAAAGCCCGCUCGCCGGAAGACCAAGGGUUCCUGUCCAACGUUAAUCGGGGCAGGGUGAGUCGACCCCUAAGGCGAGGCCGAAAGGCGUAGUCGAUGGGAAACGGGUUAAUAUUCCCGUACUUGGUGUUACUGCGAAGGGGGGACGGAGAAGGCUAUGUUGGCCGGGCGACGGUUGUCCCGGUUUAAGCGUGUAGGUGUGUGUUCCAGGUAAAUCCGGUUCACUUUAACACUGAGGCGUGAUGACGAGGCACUACGGUGCUGAAGCAACAAAUGCCCUGCUUCCAGGAAAAGCCUCUAAGCAUCAGGUAACAUCAAAUCGUACCCCAAACCGACACAGGUGGUCAGGUAGAGAAUACCAAGGCGCUUGAGAGAACUCGGGUGAAGGAACUAGGCAAAAUGGUGCCGUAA
rnacentral:rRNA from 4 species